rnacentral:lncRNA from 1 species
UUUUCAACUUUACUCAAAAUUCCAAUUCUCCUGCCGUGACGGUGCUACUGGUGGAGUAAUCCAAGGAAGAAGAAGAAGAUGUGCUUGGAGAAAAAAGGAAAAGGAUGAGGUGUUGUUGUUUAUUUAAUUAUUUCUCCCUUGCAUUUGUAGAAUUAUAUAUUUGUAAAAUCACAUAUCAUAUUUUUUUAACCUAUAAUUUUAUAAUUUGGCUCUUCUUU